UUUCUUCCCCUGCUGCGCGAUUGGCUGGCGCAGGGGACGCCCGACCCCCUGACCUGUAUCUUGACCAUCUCCGGCCAACAUCGCCAGAUGCCCACUAUGUUGUGCCCUCUUCAGAACUCCGGCGGAGCUGAACCCGGUUCGCCGCGCCUCCAUCGACACUCCAGUGCGUGGUGCCGGGGAGUCCACCCACUCAUCCCCUGUUAGUCCGGUGCGGUGUGCACUGCAACUGUUGGUGACCAGCAGUGCCGCCUCUCCCGUGUUCCUCUUACCAGCAACAAGCAGACAAGCACCGUUGAGAGAUGAACUUGUGAAGUUCACUCCAUCGCCAGCAGCAGGCCGCUUGGGGGCUUUGGGGUGCCAAGAUGGUAUGGCUCUGCAGGAAGAGGCUUGUGUUUACCAACAACCAGGGGGUGGUCGUCAAGGGUGUGUAUGUACAACAUUCUCAUCACAAUCCCUGUUCUUUUCUUUUUCGUUGAUAACUAGCGCUUAUUGAAUUGGUUCGUUAAUAACUAAUUACAGAAACAUUAGGAGAGAUAAAAUGGGUUUAAAACUGAUUGAUUAUGAGGCGCUAUUCUAGUCUGCUGGGAAAUUGAUGAAUGAAAUAUGUGUACAAGUGACCAUUAUGUGGUCAUCCUUUUGCUUUGCAUUCCCAGAUUGACUAGGAUGAGCACGGAUAUGAAGAAUUACCCGAGCGUAUGAGAAUAUUUUGAGAGUUCAGAUUAAAUUGGACUACUCAUUUGUCCCUGAUGUGGAAAAUGGAUAUUACAUGUGUAUCUUAAUUGUUCAUUUCAGUUUGAAUGCCCCCGAAGUUCAAUAUGAACGCAUUCGUAGUUCAGCUUGUCUCACUGAAAAAUCAUCUUAUUGUCGAGCAGUUCAUUUAAAUAUACAGAAAGUUCAAUUGUGCAACGCAUGAAAGUUCAUUUCAUUUUUAUUUGGAAUACUUCACGUUUGGCAUUGGUGCAGUUUACUGUUAGCCAUGGUGCAGCUCAGUUUAUCGCUGUUUCUCACAAGGGAGUUCACUUCAGCCGAAGGCAAAAAUUAAGUUUUUUCAGCGGAAGGGUUUGAUUCAUAAUCAGCUAGCUAUUUUAUUAAUCAGCUAGUUAUUCAUUUAUCGGAACAAAGAUGCACACAGGGACAAGGAAGUGCACCCUCCCUUGGCUCCGCCAUGCUCGGAACAGCCACAGGAGUCCACCCGUCGCUGCCCAGGAGUCCACUAGCGCGGGAUCAAUUAGCUGCACCCAUCCCCUUCCCUGGCUCGAGCCUCCCCUUGGAGUCGCCAUGCGCCACCGGGGAGUCCACCCCACGCCUACCCCCAGCAGUCUUGUGUGUGCGGCCAGGAGCCAACAUGAGGCGCUGGGAGCGCUGUCCCUGCACCAGCGUGGCCUCCUGCUGUUCCAGGGUGACGGCGACAUGAUGGGCUACAGUUUCCAGGUCGUGCGCCGUCCUGUUCAAGUAUCCCAAACCUGACAUGGACAGGGAGAUUCAUUCAUGAGCUCGAGGAAAGCACCAGGCCGCUCUCUUUCGUUGUCU